rnacentral:misc_RNA from 1 species
CCGAGUUUACAACUCCCAACCCCUGUGAACAUACCUACUGUUGCCUUCGGCGGAUCAGACCGCUCCCGGUAACAACGGGCCGGCCCCGCCAGAGGACCCCUAAACUCUGUUUUAUAAUGUAAUUUCUGAGUAAACCAUCAAAUAAAUUA